AUUCUCUCCUUGCUCACAGAGCCCAGUGUUCAAUGUUUCUUUAUCUUUCUUGUCUCCUCUUCUAGUCCAUCAUCAAGCCACCUCAAGAAGAAGGGAGGACCGUUCUCUUCUUCUUGUGACUGUGCCUUCCAAAGGUCAAUCUCAGAUAUCCUGAAAUAGAUGUGCGUUCCUAUGGACUGGGACCCUUCUGGAUGGACCCUCUCAAUGUUACCCACAGCAUAGCAGAAUGACUACAGAGUUCUGCUCACUGAUGAGUGGUGGCUGUUGUUCUUGCUGCAUCUGAGGUGGUAUGGACCUAGUGUGCCUUUCCUCCUGUGGUUACUGACCACCUGGCUGCAGUGAUCAUCACUCUCCUGGCUGCAGUGAGCUGCAAUGGUCAUCACUCUCCUGCUGCAAUGAUCAUCACUCUUCUGGCUGCAGUGAACUGCAGUGGUCAUCACUCUCCUGGCUGCAGUGGUCAUCACUCUCCUGGCUGCAGUGAGCUGCAGUGGUCAUAACCCUCCUGGCUGCAGUGAGCUGCAAUGGUCAUCACCCUCCUGGCUGCAGUGAGCUGCAGUGGUCAUCACUCUCCUGCUACAAUGAUCAUCACUCUUCUGGCUGCAGUGAGCUGCAGUGGUCAUCACUCUCCUGGCUGCAGUGAGCUGCAGUGAUCAUAACCCUCCUGGCUGCAGUGAGCUGCAGUGGUCAUCACCCUCCUGGCUGCAGUGAGCUGCAGUGGUCAUCACUCUCCUGGCUGCAGUGAGCUGCAGUGGUCAUCACCCUCCUGGCUGCAGUGAGCUGCAGUGGUCAUCACUCUCCUGCUGCAAUGUUCAUCACUCUCCUGGCUGCAGUGAGCUGCAGUGGUCAUCACCCUCCUGGCUGCAGUGAGCUGCAGUGGUCAUCACUCUCCUGGCUGCAGUGAGCUGCAGUGGUCAUCACCCUCCUGGCUGCAGUGAGCUGCAGUGGUCAUCACUCUCCUGCUGCAAUGAUCAUCACUCUUCUGGCUGCAGUGAGCUGCAGUGGUCAUCCCUCUCCUGGCUUCAGUGAGCUGUAGUGGUCAUCACUUUCCUGGUAGCAGUGAGCUGCAGUGGUUAUCACUCUCCUGUCUACAAUGUUCAUCACUCUCCUGGCUGCAGUGAGGUGUAGUGGUCAUCACUCUCCUGGUAGCAGUGGUCCAGUGCAGCUCUGCCCUCCCUACACUAGGUCCUAGGAAGGGCAUCUCUGCUUUUCAACAGGCUGCAGUGUCCAUGGGUCAUGGCACUCUAAACUAUGAAGCUCCUAGGAAGGAAUAUUCAAGGACAAAGUCAGAGGAUCAACUUUAUUUGCUCUAGCUAAAAUAUUUUUGACAAUAAUUAAAGCAGAGAUGAAAAGAUCCAAACAAAA